rnacentral:rRNA from 1 species
GUGUCAGCAGCCGCGGUAAGACGAACCGUACGAACGUUAUUCGGAAUCACUGGGCUUAAAGGGUGCGUAGGCGGUGUGGAAAGUUGGGUGUGAAAUACCUCGGCUUAACCGAGGAACUGCAUUCAAAACUACCAUGCUAGAGGGAGACAGAGGUGAGCGGAACUUAGGGUGGAGCGGUGAAAUGCGUUGAUAUCCUAAGGAACACCGGUGGCGAAAGCGGCUCACUGGGUCUCUUCUGACGCUGAGGCACGAAAGCUAGGGUAGCGAACGGGAUUAGAUACCCCGGUAGUCCUAGCUGUAAACGAUGAGCACUUGGUUGAAGGGUCCUCCAUAGCCUUUCAGCCGUAGCGAAAGUGUUAAGUGCUCCGCCUGGGGAGUAUGGUCGCAAGGCUGAA